CACUCCUGCGGGAGGCAGCAGUGAGGAAUAUUGGACAAUGGGUGGAAGCCUGAUCCAGCCAUCCCGCGUGCAGGAAGACGGCCCUAUGGGUUGUAAACUGCUUUUAUCUGGGGAUAAACCUACUUACGUGUAAGUAGCUGAAGGUACCAGAAGAAUAAGCACCGGCUAACUCCGUGCCAGCAGCCGCGGUAAUACGGAGGGUGCAAGCGUUAUCCGGAUUUAUUGGGUUUAAAGGGUCCGUAGGCGGACUGAUAAGUCAGUGGUGAAAUCCGACAGCUUAACUGUCGAACUGCCAUUGAUACUGUUAGUCUUGAGUAAGGUUGAAGUGGCUGGAAUAAGUAGUGUAGCGGUGAAAUGCAUAGAUAUUACUUAGAACACCAAUUGCGAAGGCAGGUCACUAAGUCUUAACUGACGCUGAUGGACGAAAGCGUGGGGAGCGAACAGGAUUAGAAACCCUUGUAGUCCCAUG
rnacentral:rRNA from 1 species